GUGGGGUUGUGGCUCAGUGGUAGAGCGCUUGCCUAGCAUGUGUGAGGCACUGGGUUUGAUUCUUAGCACCACA
rnacentral:tRNA from 1 species